CUCGGCUCUCGCAUCGAUGAAGAACGUAGCGAAAUGCGAUACUUGGUGUGAAUUGCAGAAUCCCGUGAACCAUCGAGUCUUUGAACGCAAGUUGCGCCCGAAGCCGUCAGGCCGAGGGCACGUCUGCCUGGGCGUCACGCAUCGCGUCGCCCCUCUACUCUACCC
rnacentral:rRNA from 1 species